AUUGAACGCUGGCGGCAUGCCUUACACAUGCAAGUCGAACGGUAACAGGUCUUCGGAUGCUGACGAGUGGCGAACGGGUGAGUAAUACAUCGGAACGUGCCUAGUAGUGGGGGAUAACUACUCGAAAGAGUGGCUAAUACCGCAUGAGAUCUACGGAUGAAAGCAGGGGAUCGCAAGAACUUGUGCUACUAGAGCGGCCGAUGGCAGAUUAGGUAGUUGGUGGGAUAAAAGCUACCAAGCCGACGAUCUGUAGCUGGUCUGAGAGGACGAUCAGCCACACUGGGACUGAGCCACGGCGCAGACUCCUACGGGAGGCAGCAGUGGGGAAUUUUGGACAAUGGGCGAAAGCCUGAUCCAGCAAUGCCGCGUGCAGGAUGAAGGCCUUCGGGUUGUAAACUGCUUUUGUACGGAACGAAAAGCCCCGGGUUAAUACCCUGGGGUCAUGACGGUACCGUAAGAAUAAGCACCGGCUAACUACGUGCCAGCCGCCGCGGUAA
rnacentral:rRNA from 1 species